GCCAGCCAGCCGCCAGAGAGCUGCUAUCCGGGACCGGGAGCCGGCAGCAGGGAGCCGGCCGGACGCGCGGACAGGCCCGGCGAGCGCGGCGGCGCUGUGGCAUGCUCCUUUCACAGCACAAGGUGUUCUCAAGGGAAGCACUCCCUGUCAUGAUAGCGGAUACAAUGCCCUCAACCUGAUAAACCUGGACAUUCACAGAGGCUUUCAGGAUGGCCAGUGUCUCUUCUUAACAUCACGCAAGCAGGACAGGACAGGAGCUGGGAAUGCUGCAGCCAGGAGGACCCCAUCCAGAUCGUUACAAACAGCACCCCCACAUCAUGUGAUCUUAGGGAAGAAAAGGGAAUCAAACCCUGUGCCCCUGACGGGAAAUGACAGGAUGAACAUUUUCCUGGCUAAAAGUUUGAAAUAUACACCUUUGCCACACACAAAAUUUUCACCCAUUAUUUCUUUCCUUACACUUUCCUCAUUUAAAAUGUACAAUUUCAUAGAAUAAUCCAGUUUAUACACCCUAAAUGCAUGAAACCCAUUUUUUCAGUUAUUCAGUCAGUAUUUAUGGAGCACCUACCACACGCCAGGCAUCGUUUCGUUCACUGCCAAAGCUUCAGUCCCUAAAACAAAGUUGCUGCUCUCAGAGUUCUGACUUCCCAAUGCUUUGCUAAUGGUUUCCUGCAUGAGCCCUCACAUAGAACACCCUCUUUUAAGAUAACAUUUUUUGAGGGUUUAUGCGCGUCAGGCACUGAACACCAUUAAUUCAUUUAGUUCUCACAGCAUCCCUGUGAGGUGGUACGAUUUCUAUCCCCUCGUUGCAGAUGAAGAAUUUGAAAUUUAAAGACAGGAUAAGUAACUUACCCAAGGCUACAAAGCUAGUAAAUCACAGAUAGGAUUAAAAUGUAGGUCCAGUUCCAAACUCCUCCAUCUUAAUCCCUACACUAAACUGCCUUCAAAACUUCUUAAAUAUAG